rnacentral:rRNA from 1 species
AUUGAACGCUGGCGGCAUGCUUUACACAUGCAAGUCGAACGGUAACAGGCCGCAAGGUGCUGACGAGUGGCGAACGGGUGAGUAAUGCAUCGGAACGUGCCCAGCCGUGGGGGAUAACGCAGCGAAAGCUGUGCUAAUACCGCAUACGAGCUAUGGUUGAAAGCGGGGGACCGAAGGGCCUCGCGCGAUUGGAGCGGCCGAUGUCAGGUUAGGUAGUUGGUGGGGUAAAGGCUCACCAAGCCAACGAUCUGUAACUGGUCUGAGAGGACGACCAGCCACACUGGGACUGAGACACGGCCCAGACUCCUACGGGAGGCAGCAGUGGGGAAUUUUGGACAAUGGGCGCAAGCCUGAUCCAGCAAUGCCGCGUGCAGGAAGAAGGCCUUCGGGUUGUAAACUGCUUUUGUACGGAACGAAACGGCGAGCCCUAAUACAGUUUGCUAAUGACGGUACCGUAAGAAUAAGCACCGGCUAACUACGUGCCAGCCGCCGCGGUAA